ACGGGAACCUUCGGGUUCUAGUGGCGGACGGGUGAGUAACGCGUGAGAAUCUACCUUCUGGUCGGGGACAACCACUGGAAACGGUGGCUAAUACCGGAUGAGCCUAAGGGUAAAAGAUUAAUUGCCAGAAGAAGAGCUCGCGUCUGAUUAGCUAGUUGGUGAGGUAAGAGCUCACCAAGGCAGCGAUCAGUAGCUGGUCUGAGAGGAUGACCAGCCACACUGGGACUGAGACACGGCCCAGACUCCUACGGGAGGCAGCAGUGGGGAAUUUUCCGCAAUGGGCGAAAGCCUGACGGAGCAAGACCGCGUGAGGGAAGAAGGCUUUUGGGUUGUAAACCUCUUUUAUCAGGGAAGAAAAAAAUGACGGUACCUGAAGAAUCAGCCUCGGCUAACUCCGUGCCAGCAGCCGCGGUAAUACGGAGGAGGCAAGCGUUAUCCGGAAUUAUUGGGCGUAAAGCGUCUGCAGGUGGCUUAUCAAGUCUGCUGUCAAAGAGUGGGGCUUAACCCCAUUAAGGCAGUGGAAACUGAGAAGCUAGAGUGCCGUAGGGGUAGAGGGAAUUCCCGGUGUAGCGGUGAAAUGCGUAGAGAUCGGGAAGAACAUCGGUGGCGAAAGCGCUCUACUGGACGGCAACUGACACUCAGG
rnacentral:rRNA from 1 species